AUUGAACGCUGGCGGCAGGCUUAACACAUGCAAGUCGAGCGAGAGGCGGACUGGCGAGUAGUUUCUUGAAAACUGCCUGAUCGAGGGAUAUAACUACUGUAAACGUUGGCUAAUACCGCAUACCAUCAGAUGUGCCCAUGUGGGAUUAGCUAGUAGGUGGGGUAAUGGCUCACCUAGGCGACGAUCCCUAGCUGGUCUGAGAGGAUGACCGGCCACACUGGAACUGAGACACGGUCCAGACUCCUACGGGAGGCAGCAGUGGGGAAUAUUGAACAAUGGGCGAAAGCCUGAUGGAGCAAUGCCGCGUGAGUGAAGAAGGCCUUCGGGUUGUAAAGCACUUUCAGCGGGGAGGCGGUACCCGAAGAAGAAGCAACGGCUAACUCCGUGCCAGCAGCCGCGGUAAUUC
rnacentral:rRNA from 1 species